AACGAACGCUGGCGGCAUGCCUAACACAUGCAAGUCGAACGAGACCUUCGGGUCUAGUGGCGCACGGGUGCGUAACGCGUGGGAACCUGCCCUUAGGUUCGGAAUAACUCCCCGAAAGGGGUGCUAAUACCGGAUAAUGUCUUCGGACCAAAGAUUUAUCGCCUUUGGAUGGGCCCGCGUUGGAUUAGCUAGUUGGUAGGGUAAAAGCCUACCACGGCGACGAUCAAUAGCUGGUCUGAGAGGAUGAUCAGCCACACUGGGACUGAGACACGGCCCAGACUCCUACGGGAGGCAGCAGUGGGGAAUAGUGGACAAUGGGCGAAAGCCUGAUCCAGCAAUGCCGCGUGAGUGAUGAAGGCCUUAGGGUUGUAAAGCUCUUUUACCCGGGAUGAUAAUGACAGUACCGGGAGAAUAAGCUCCGGCUAACUCCGUG
rnacentral:rRNA from 1 species